AAGAGUUUGAUCAUGGCUCAGAUUGAACGCUGGCGGCAGGCUUAACACAUGCAAGUCGAGCGGGGGAAGGUAGCUUGCUACUGGACCUAGCGGCGGACGGGUGAGUAAUGCUUAGGAAUCUGCCUAUUAGUGGGGGACAACAUCUCGAAAGGGAUGCUAAUACCGCAUACGUCCUACGGGAGAAAGCAGGGGAUCUUCGGACCUUGCGCUAAUAGAUGAGCCUAAGUCGGAUUAGCUAGUUGGUGGGGUAAAGGCCUACCAAGGCGACGAUCUGUAGCGGGUCUGAGAGGAUGAUCCGCCACACUGGGACUGAGACACGGCCCAGACUCCUACGGGAGGCAGCAGUGGGGAAUAUUGGACAAUGGGGGGAACCCUGAUCCAGCCAUGCCGCGUGUGUGAAGAAGGCCUUAUGGUUGUAAAGCACUUUAAGCGAGGAGGAGGCUACUUUAGUUAAUACCUAGAGAUAGUGGACGUUACUCGCAGAAUAAGCACCGGCUAACUCUGUGCCAGCAGCCGCGGUAAUACAGAGGGUGCGAGCGUUAAUCGGAUUUACUGGGCGUAAAGCGUGCGUAGGCGGCUUAUUAAGUCGGAUGUGAAAUCCCCGAGCUUAACUUGGGAAUUGCAUUCGAUACUGGUGAGCUAGAGUAUGGGAGAGGAUGGUAGAAUUCCAGGUGUAGCGGUGAAAUGCGUAGAGAUCUGGAGGAAUACCGAUGGCGAAGGCAGCCAUCUGGCCUAAUACUGACGCUGAGGUACGAAAGCAUGGGGAGCAAACAGGAUUAGAUACCCUGGUAGUCCAUGCCGUAAACGAUGUCUACUAGCCGUUGGGGCCUUUGAGGCUUUAGUGGCGCAGCUAACGCGAUAAGUAGACCGCCUGGGGAGUACGGUCGCAAGACUAAAACUCAAAGCACCCGCAAAAGAUACUGCACUAUAACCCCAACCUAAAUCGAGUACUAACGCACCUGCAGCAGCGCCUACUGCAUUACCUAGGUUAAACACCGAUAUUUACUGAAGAGGCAAGCCCUGGAGCUUCGUGAGCAACUGACAUUACCCGCAUUUGUAAUGGUGGUACUAAAGCAAAGGUUGCUGCACCCCAUAUCACCAACGCAAUAGCUGCUCCAAUCUGGCUUUGAGCAAGAAUUGGGAAAGUCACCAUCAUCACAAUCAACAGUACCAAGAAACCAAUCAGAGUUUUAUUGAUAGAUAAGUCUGCAAAACGGCCACCUAAAUGGUUACCAAUCGAGAAGCCGACACCGAUCAACACCAACAUGAACGUAAUGAAGGUUGGUGAAGCA
rnacentral:rRNA from 1 species